GACGAACGCUGGCGGCGUGCUUAACACAUGCAAGUCGAACGGAGAGGCGCGGCGUUUGUGGUGUGCUCGAGUGGCGAACGGGGGAGUAUCACGUGAGUGACCUGCGCUUGGCUGUGGGGGAACUUCAGGAGACUGGGGCGAUUACCGGGUAGGAGCUCCUGCUGCAUGGGGGGGGUUGGAAAAUUUCGGCGGUUGGGGAUGGACACGUGGAUUAUCAGCUUGUUGGUGGGGUAGUGGCGUAACAAGGCAUUGACGGGAAGCCGGCCUGAGAGGGUGACCGGCCCCAUUGGGCUGCAGGUAGGGGCCGGAGUGAUACGGGAGCAAGCAGUGGGGAACAGUGCACAAUGGGCGGCAGCCUGAUGGAGCAACGUCGCGUGCGGGAUGACGGCUUUCAGGUUGUAACCCGCUUUCGCCUGUGACGAAGCGUGAGUGACGGUAACGGGUAAAGAAGCAACGGCUAACUACGUG
rnacentral:rRNA from 1 species